rnacentral:rRNA from 1 species
CCUACGGGAGGCUGCAGUGAGGAAUAUUGGUCAAUGGUCGAGAGCCUGAACCAGCCAAGCCGCGUGAGGGAUGAAGGUACAGAGUAUCGUAAACCUCUUUUGUCAGGGAACAAAGGCGGGGACGUGUCCCCGAAUGAGUGUACCUGAAGAAAAAGCAUCGGCUAACUCCGUGCCAGCAGCCGCGGUAAUACGGAGGAUGCGAGCGUUAUCCGGGUUUAUUGGGUUUAACGGGUGCGCAGACGGUCAUGUAAGUCAGGGGUCAAAGCCCGGGGCUCAACCCCGGGACUGCGUUUGAAACUGGCAGUCUGGAGUUGCAGAGAAGCAGGCGGAAUGCGUGGUGUAGCGGUGAAAUGCAUAGAUAUUGCGAAGAACACCGAUUGCGAAGGCAGCCUGCUGGAU